rnacentral:rRNA from 1 species
AGAUUGAAUGCUGGCGGCAUGCUUUACACAUGCAAGUCGAACGGUAACGCGGGGGCAACCCUGGCGACGAGUGGCGAACGGGUGAGUAAUACAUCGGAACGUGCCCAGUAGUGGGGGAUAGCUCGGCGAAAGCCGGAUUAAUACCGCAUACGACCUACGGGUGAAAGCGGGGGAUCGCAAGACCUCGCGCUAUUGGAGCGGCCGAUGGCAGGAUUAGCUUGUUGGUGGGGUAAAAGCCUACCAAGGCGACGAUCUGUAG